rnacentral:lncRNA from 1 species
CCGAUGUUACAAAGCUCCUGAUGUUGUUAUAAGGAACCUGCAAGCAAAAUUAUUGUUGCUCUGCUUCUUGUGUCUAUGAAACAAACCUGCAAAGAAAGAAUAAAAACAAGAAGAACAAUAUUUGAUCUGAGACGUGCUGAACGCACUGUCCUCAAGGAUUUAUCCGCGGUUAAGCGCAAACCCCCCAGGAUUUAACAGACCC